GAUGAACGCUGGCGGCGUGCCUAAUACAUGCAAGUCGAGCGAACAGAUGAGGAGCUUGCUCCUCUGACGUUAGCGGCGGACGGGUGAGUAACACGCGGAUAACCUACCUAUAAGACUGGGAUAACUUCGGGAAACCGGAGCUAAUACCGGAUAAUAUAUUGAACCGCAUGGUUCAAUAGUGAAAGACGGUUUUGCUGUCACUUAUAGAUGGAUCCGCGCCGCAUUAGCUAGUUGGUAAGGUAACGGCUUACCAAGGCAACGAUGCGUAGCCGACCUGAGAGGGUGAUCGGCCACACUAGAACUGAGACACGGUCCAGACUCCUACGUGAGGCAGCAGUAGGGAAUCUUCCGCAAUGCGCGAAAGCCUGACGGAGCAACGCCGCGUGAGUGAUGAAGGUCUUCGGAUCGUAAAACUCUGUUAUUAGGGAAGAACAAAUGUGUAAGUAACUAUGCACGUCUUGACGGUACCUAAUCAGAAAGCCACGGCUAACUACGUG
rnacentral:rRNA from 1 species